CCCUGCUGUAGUAGCUAAUGUACAGAUAGUGUGUAAGUGACCACUAAAUCAUUAUAUGCCUUUAAAUAAUUUUAGAGCAUCAGAGCAUGUCACGUGUUUCGGUAGCCUAGGUGACUAAUAGGUUAAUCAGGCUAGCAGGAGCGAAGAGAAGACACGUUGCUGUGCGAUUUAAGGAAAAAGGGAGGCUUAAUCCUGCACAAUUUAUUUAAUAGAACCCUUUGGGAAAGCGGAGCGAGGUAUGUGAAGUUAAUAUUUAAGCCACAUGAGUUCAUUUGUAUGUAUAUGUUAAUCGUGAGCUCUGCCUUCUUAUUAGUUGUUUCAAACUGUCGUUAUAUACUUCAUUGUUUCACUUUCAUAUGUCGCUCUGUACAUUAUAUCUUUAUUUGUCGUAUUAUUCUGUAUACAAGUUGUUUUUAUUGAUUUUUGUUGUUUCUUUGUGUAGUUUCACGGUGCUACGCAACGAAAGUUUAAUGGCUCUCGGCUUGAGCAAAAUAAAGAAUCAAGCACCCGUCAGAAACUCUCUGUCUCGUUCAUGGAAACCAAAGGGCAUCUACAGUGAAACUCGACGCUUAAAGGAACCACGCAUCUGUUUCAUCGAGACGAGGCUGGCAGCUGGCAGGGUCGUGACGUCAUCGCACAGGCUGAUCGGAGGCUGCAGUUACCCAUACUAGUCGGAGGUGGCGCGCGUGCUGUCAUUCACUGUUGCAGAUACAGUGGGAGACUUUGAGUGGCAAGAGAGUUUAAGAACAACAUAUUCCUACGUAAGCAGCAUCAAGUCAUCUUGAACUUAGUAAUUUUAAUGCUUUAAAGGAAAAGCAAAUAUUUUAUGGACAUUUGAGUUAAAAGGUUAAAUUUACAAAGGACUUUAAAUAAAAGCAAAUAAAUAAUGUUAUAAAGAACAUUUACUUCAUAGUUUAAGAUUUGAAUUACAUUAUUUGAGUAGAAUUUAAGAGAAGGAAAAAAAAAAGAACUUAAUUUAUUUUAUUUAGCAUUAGAAAAAUUACAAUCAGUGUUAAUGUUAGCUGUACUUAUUUGAAAACUGACAUUUCCUUGUUAUUCCUGUUACAAGCUAAUAUUUUGGAUGUCAUAUACUGCUGUUUGCAUUUAUAUUGAUCUUGUUUGCUAAUUUAUUUGGGUGCUUACGUGCUAGAGGUCUGGUGAGAGUGUUAUUAUUCACUGCUUAAGUUCCUCUUUAAUUAUGGAAGCUGUACACGCUGAAGAGGCUAUGGAAGAUACACAUAGUACCCAUGAAGAAGCGCAUGCAGUCAAACAAGCAGAUGAAAUGUCACUCCCAACAGUAGAAAUAAGCAACCCAGUUGUGCAGCAGGUCAGAUCAAGCACACGUGAAAGAAGCUUCACAGAAAGGGGUCUGGAAAUGCGUGAACAGGAAGCCAAGCGACAAGAGAAAGCUUUCCAUAAAGCUUAUAACAGUUGGAAAGAGACUGCAAAAGAUUGUAGAUCAACACUAAAAAUGUUCUGUUCACGUGAGAAUCUAGAACAAAUUCAGCAAGACAUUCAAAAUCAAUGUAAUCUAGUCCAUCAGCAUUAUGAGCCAAUAUUGCGUAACCAUGCUACAUCUCCAGACAUUGUCAAUCGUAUGGAUGCUUGUGCUGCACUGACUGCUGAAAUUAUUGAUCUUGUGAGUAAGCGGCUGGAGACAAUAGGUGAAGAUUACAAUGAAGAGCUUGUGAAGGAAAGAGUGAGACAAGUCUUAAAUAAAGAUGAAUAUGGAUCAAUCUUUGGAUGCACAAAAACAAACACAGUGAUGUCAGAGUCAUCGCUAGGAUCAGGUAAUCAGUCGAAGACCUCUUCCAAGAUAUCAAGUAAGCGAGCUGAAGCAGAAGCUGAACUUGCAGCAAAACAAGAGCAAGCUAAAGCUAUGCAGGAAAUCCAUGAUCAACAAGCAAAGCUUAAUAAAAUGGAGAGUGAAUGGAAGCUUUCUGAAGCUAAAAUGCUAGCAGAAAUAAAGCAAAGAGAGGUAGAAAUGCAGCUAAAGCUUGAAGAAGAAAGAAAACGGCUGCAUCAGUUGCAAGUAGACAAGGAAGUAAAAGUAGCAGCAGCUCGUGUGAAAGUGUACAAUGAUCUUGAAGGGAUCAGUCAAUUUGGUGAUAAAGAAAUAGAUUCUAGCAUUCACAGAUUUCAGUUAAACCCAGAAGCUGAAUUGUUCUUGCCUCAGCAAACAUUCAAGGCAGAGCAUGAAGCCCAGCCAUCUCAGAAUAAUGUUUCUUUAGCUCAAGCAAUAGCAGACUCACUAAGCACACAUCGACUGCCUGUGCCUGAACCCAUGAUCUUCGCUGGUGAUCCAUUGAAAUUCAUAGAUUGGAAGAUGUCCUUCAUAGCUCUUAUAGAAAGAAAGCCCCUCCCACCUGGUGAGAAGAUGUUCUAUCUUAAAAAGUACCUUGUUGGAAAAGCUCGUAAGGCUGUGGAGGGAUAUUUCUAUAGAAAUUCAGAGGAUGCAUACCAUGGAGCAUGGAAGGUCCUGCAAGAUAGAUAUGGGAAUUCAUUCAUACUACAAAAAGCCUUUAGAGACAAGCUGAUGAGGUGGCCCAAAAUUGGAAUAAAUGACCCACUUGCACUGCGAGACUUCACAGAUUUCCUGCAAGGAUGUGCUGAGGCAAUGCCACACAUUAAGGGAUUAUCUAUUCUAAAUGACUGUGAAGAAAACUACAAGCUACUAAAGAAACUUCCUGAAUGGGUUGUACACAAAUGGAAUCGAAUUGUGACGGAAGAAUUAGAUGCAUCAGGGGACUAUCCAAGUUUCAAGUGUUUUACAGAGUUCUUGCAAAAGGAAACUAGAAUAGCUUGUAACCCCAUUACUUCCCCAUUCAUGAAUAUGAAAAAUUCAGAUGAAAAGUUCCCCAAGCGAGCUAAGGCACUCAGUACAAAGACUGACGUGAAAGAGUUCAGUUCUAAAGGGCUUAAUACAUCUAGCGUAAAGUCAAAAGUAUCAUGCAUUGUCUGUAAAGAUGAAAACCACAGCAUUGUCCAAUGUUCUGCAUUUGGAGAAAAAACCAUUGAAGACAAGAAGAACUUCAUUCAAGAAAAUCAGCUCUGUUAUGGGUGUCUCAGGAAAGGGCACAUUGUAAAAAAAUGCAGAAGACGACAUAAGUGUGGAACAUGUGGCCGCAAUCACCCCACAUGCUUACAUGAAGAAAGACAUAUGGUGUCUCCAAAACCAUUAAAUAAAACUUCAACAGAAGUACAAGCAAGUCAGGAAGUUCAGAAAGUUAUGGCCCAUGCACUCACACAAAGCUCUUCUGCUACUUCCAGUAUUGUGCCAGUCCUUAUUUCAACAGUGGAAGAGCCUCAAAGGGAAGUACUCACUUAUGCGCUACUGGACACGCAGAGUGACUCAACAUUCAUUUUGGAAGAUCUUCUUGAUGAUCUAAAUGCAGUCAAGCAACCAGUUCAACUUAGAUUAAGCACUAUGACAGCUGUGGAUACUAUAACGGCAAGUAACAGGGUUUGCGGUCUGCAAGUUAGAGGACUCCAAGCAGCAAACUCCAUUCAGUUACGGCAAGCAUAUACAAGAGACUUCAUUCCUGUUGAUAAGUCCUAUAUCCCAACGAAGAGCACAGCACUGGAGUGGCCUCACCUAAAACAUCUGGCCAAUCAAUUGCCACCACUGCAGAACUGCGAAGUCGGAUUAUUAAUCGGAUAUGACUGCCCUUCAGCUCUAGCUCCCCUUGAAGUCAUAAUUGGUCAUGAAAAUGAACCAUUCGCACAAAGAACUGAACUUGGUUGGAGCAUUAUAGGUCUCUCUAAUCCACACCUAGACAGGCAGGGAAAUCAGAGUUUUGUCCACAGAGUUGCAGUCAAGGAGAUAUUUGUUCCAUCACCCAAUGAUGUCUUGAAAAUUCUUGAGUCAGAUUUCAAUGAGAAAGGUUAUGAGGAUAAAAGUGUGUCUCAAGAGGAUGUUCGUUUCAUUCAACAUCUCAGUACCAACAUCAAACAGAAGGAUAAUGGACAUUAUGAACUUCCCCUCCCUUUCAAGAGUAUCAGCCAACCAUCACUGCCAAAUAAUAGAAGGCUGGCAGUUGCCCGGCUGCAGCAAUUAAAGAAAAAGCUCAAAUCUAACAAGCAAUAUUCGGAUGACUACAAAGUCUUCAUGAAGGAAGUCGUUGACAAAGGUGAUGCUGAACUAGCCCCUGAGAUAUCAGAAGGAGAGACUGUAUGGUAUAUUCCACACCACGGAGUAUACCACCCUCAGAAACCAGGUAAGCUGAGGGUUGUGUUCGACUGUUCAGCUAAGUUUAGUGGUAUAUCUCUAAACGACACUCUGUUGACUGGGCCUGAUCUAAUAAAUUCAUUAGUUGGAGUACUCUGCCGCUUCAGAAAGGAGCUAGUCGCAGUCACCUGUGAUAUAGAAAAGAUGUUUCACCAGUUCCUUGUUCCUCCAGACGAACGUAAUUAUCUGAGGUUCUUGUGGUGGGAGGAUGGAGACUGGGAGAAAGAGCCUCAAGACUAUCGCAUGACAGUCCAUCUCUUUGGCGCUACAUCGUCUCCUGGGUGUGCCAAUUUCGGUUUGAAGUACCUGGCACAGCAGUACGAAGUUAAACACCCAACAGCUUCAGAGUUUGUUAAAAGAAACUUCUAUGUAGACGAUGGGCUAGCCAGUGUUCGUUCAAUUGAUGAAGCCAAGGAACUAAUUGCUGAUGCUCAAGCACUCUGUAAACAAGGAGGUUUACGGCUUCAUAAAUUCAACUCCAAUAAGGAAGAUGUUCUCUGCUGCAUAGACCCAUCUGAAAGGGAUAUUGUCUCUAAACCUCUCAAUUUAAACCCUGAAGCAACACCAACAGGACGUGUACUUGGUGUUCAGUGGUCAACAAGGGAUGACAAUUUUCAAUUCAACAUCAACUAUAAAGAUCAGCCAUCGACCCGCCGUGGAAUCUUGUCUGUCAUUAGUUCCCUGUUCGACCCAAUUGGGUUUGUGGCACCAUUUAUUCUUCAGGGAAAGUGCAUCCUGCAGGAACUAUGUCGGAAAAACAUUGGAUGGGAUGAUCAGCUACCAGAAGACAUGUAUUCACGGUGGGAGGAUUGGAAAGGUGGACUUCAAAGGCUUAAAGAAGUUGUCAUACCAAGAUGUUAUCACCCUGACACCUUCAAUGAGAUCAUUGAAACGGAGCUGCACCACUUCUCCGAUGCGAGCAACAUUGGAUAUGGAGCUUGCUCUUAUCUUCGUUUCAAAAAUGACAAAGGUAAAGUGCACUGCAGUUUGGUAAUGGCAAAGGCUAGAGUCGCACCUACAAAAGUCACAAGUAUACCAAGACUAGAACUUGCGGCGGCUGUUCUAUCUGCAAAGAUAAGUGUCAUGCUAAAGACAGAGCUUGAAAUGAAGAUUGACAGAGAAUUCUUUUGGACAGAUUCACAGGUUGUUUUGGCUUAUAUUAAUAACGAAGCAAGACGGUUUCAUGUAUUCGUUGCUAACCGUGUGCAACUCAUAAGGGACAUUACAGAUCCAAGCCUGUGGUACUAUGUUAAUACCUUAGAGAACCCGGCUGAUCAUGCUUCCAGAGGGUUUCAUGCCUCUGACAUUGCUACUUCAACCUGGUUAAGAGGUCCCAAAUUUCUGUGGGAACAAGAAGUGAAUCCAACACCACAUACCUCUGCCAAUUUGCUUGUUGGUGACCCCGAAGUUAAACCAGUCCAAACAUUUGUGACCACAGUUAGUGACAGUUCCGACAUUUUAAGUCGUUUCAGACGAUUUUCUUGCUGGUCAAUGCUUCUGAAGGUUGUGGCAAGGAUAAAAAGACUUGGAUUGAAACAGAAAUGCUCCACUGACCAUAUAACUGUUGAGGAGCGUCAGAGAGCUGCUGAAGUGGUGAUCAAGCUCAUGCAGCAGGAAGCAUUUUCCAAAGAAAUGAGAAUGAUUGAAAAUGGGAAUGCUCUUCCAAAUUCUAGUGCGUUGUAUCAACUGGAUCCUGUUUUGGACAAAGGUCUUCUUCGGGUAGGGGGAAGAUUGAAGAAGUCAUCACUCAGUCAAGACCUCAAACAUCCUGUGAUUCUACCAAGGGAUAGUUACAUCACCAAGCUAAUUCUGUCGCAUUAUCAUGCCAAAAUUUGCCAUCAGGGUCGAACUCAAACUCAAAUGCAGCUUAGAAUGAAUGGAUUCUGGGUCAUUGGAGGUAGCAAAUCAGUUGCUAAGCUGAUACACAAGUGUGUGCAGUGUCGAAGACUUAGACGACCGACAGAAGAACAACGAAUGGCCGAACUUCCCAAGGAGCGUGUCGAAGUAUCUGCUCCCUUUACAUUUUGUGGCAUGGACUGUUUUGGGCCAUUUGUCGUGAAGAGAGCUCGCAAAGAAUACAAGCGAUACGGUCUAAUAUUCACUUGUUUGUCAUCUCGCGCAGUUCAUAUUGAAAUGAUUGAAGAUUUGUCCACAGAUGCCUUCAUCAAUGCAUUGAGAUGCUUUAUAAGCCUCAGAGGAGCAGUUUGCAAACUUUAUUGUGAUCAAGGUACAAACUUUGUCGGGGCCAGGAACGAAUUCAAAGAUUGCCUGAAACAAGUCGACAUCAAAACUCUGGAAGUCUUUCUCGCAGAGAAACAAUGUGAGUUUGCCUUUAAUGCUCCUUCUGCAAGUCACACUGGAGGUGUCUGGGAACGACAAAUACGAACUGUGCGCAGUGUACUUAAUGCCACAAUUGCACUGUGUCCUGGUAGACUUGACGAUGCUUCACUUAGAACAUUGUUCUAUGAGGCAAUGGCCAUAGUUAACAGUCGCCCGCUUACAGUAGAUGGAAUUAAUGAUCCAAAUUCACUAGAGCCUCUAACUCCAAACCACCUAAUACUUAUGAAGUCUGAUGUUGCACUUCCACCUCCAGGAAAAUUUGUUAAAGAAGACAUGUACGCUACAAAAAGAUGGCGAAGAGUCCAAUACUUGGUUGAGCAAUUUUGGAGUCGCUGGAAGAAGGAAUACUUGCUUAACAUUUCAACACGCCAAAAGUGGCACACUCCUCGCAGAAACCUCAGAGUAAAUGAUGUUGUAAUAAUCAAAGAGGAUAUGCUCCCAAGAAGUCAAUGGCAGUUGGGCAGAGUGGUUGAAACUGUCAAAGAGAGUGAUGGAUUUGUGAGACGAGUAAAGGUACGAGUAGCAGAACGAAAGCUCACUAACAAACGUAAUCAGACCCCCAAGCUCUCAAUCAUUGAAAGACCGAUUCAGAAAUUAGUUGUACUUCUUGAAGAAGACUGACUGUUAGUAACUGGGAUGAUACACUCUCAUCAGACCAAAUAAUUAUUUCUGAAAUACUUGAUAGUCAUGAAAAGUAAACGUGGUCAUGUUAUAGUUCAAAAUCAUGUUCUGAUUAAUUUCAGUUUGUUCUUUCAAUUCAUCAUAAAAUGAUUGGUGGGAGUGUAAGUGACCACUAAAUCAUUAUAUGCCUUUAAAUAAUUUUAGAGCAUCAGAGCAUGUCACGUGUUUCGGUAGCCUAGGUGACUAAUAGGUUAAUCAGGCUAGCAGGAGCGAAGAGAAGACACGUUGCUGUGCGAUUUAAGGAAAAAGGGAGGCUUAAUCCUGCACAAUUUAUUUAAUAGAACCCUUUGGGAAAGCGGAGCGAGUUUCACGGUGCUACGCAACGAAAGUUUAAUGGCUCUCGGCUUGAGCAAAAUAAAGAAUCAAGCACCCGUCAGAAACUCUCUGUCUCGUUCAUGGAAACCAAAGGGCAUCUACAUAGUGAUUGCUCUUAAGAG